AACUCUCCUCAUUUCAUACAGACAUUAAUUAAAGCUUUACAAAGCAACCUGUGUGUAAAAAAACCAAAGCUACAAAACAACCCCACCAUGUUCUGUGCUGCCUGAUGGGCCAAAUUUCCCUGUUUUUAGUCCCUGUUAAUCAAACUCUCCUCAUUUCAUACAGAUCUUUAUUAAAGUUUUAAGAAACCAUCUCUGUGUAUAAAAAUGCAAAGCCAGAAAACAAGCCCACCACAUUCUGUGCUGCCUGAUGGGCCAAAUUUCCCUGGUUUUAGUCCCUGUUAAUCAAACUCUCCCUCAUUUCAUACAGAUAUUUAUUAAGGCUUUGAGAAACCAUCUCUGUGUAUAAAAAUGCAAAGCUAGAAAA